CUGGCUUAUGGAGGGGGAUAACCAUUGGAAACGGUGGCUAAUACCGCAUGAUGUCGCAAGACCAAAGUGGGGGACCUUARGGCCUCACGCCAUGAGAUGAACCCAGAUGAGAUUAGCUAGUAGGUGCGGUAAUGGCGUACCUAGGCGACGAUCUCUAGCUGGUCUGAGAGGAUGACCAGCCACACUGGAACUGAGAGACGGUCCAGACUCCUACGGGAGGCAGCAGUGGGGAAUAUUGCACAAUGGGCGGAAGCCUGAUGCAGCCAUGCCGCGUGUGUGAAGAAGGCCUUAGGGUUGUAAAGCACUUUCAGCGGGGAGGAAGGCGGUAAGAGUAAUAUGCUUAUCRAUUGACGUUACCCGCAAAAGAAGCACCGGCUAACUCCGUGCCAGCAGCCGCGGUAAUACGGAGGGUGCGAGCGUUAAUCGGAAUAACUGGGCGUAAAGRGCAUGUAGGCGGUAAGUUAAGUCAGAUGUGAAAUCCCCGAGCUUAACUUG
rnacentral:rRNA from 1 species